rnacentral:rRNA from 1 species
CACGGGGGGAGCAAGCGUUGUUCGGAAUCACUGGGCGUAAAGGGCGUCUAGGCGGUCAGAUAAGUGGGAUGUGAAAUGCCCCGGCUCACCCGGGGACCGGCAUCCCAAACUGUCUGGCUUGAGUAUGGGAGAGGAUGUGGGAAUUCCUGGUGUAGCGGUGAAAUGCGCAGAUAUCAGGAGGAACACCGGUGGCGAAGGCGGGUCUCUGGGCCGAUACUGACGCUGAGGAGCGAAAGCGUGGGGAGCGAACAGG